CUCCAAGUCCUCCACCAUUGAGUAUACGCACUUUAAACCAAGGGCCAAACGGAAGUCUCUGUGAUUGAGGAUACUGAAUGUCUUCUAAAGAGCCCAAAGGACCACAAUGCAGCUCACUACUGCACUUUAAUCAACGGAAGCACUCCCUUUUAGGCUACUUCUCUCAAUGCAGUUAUUCCCAAAUCUUUAUUGUUCUCACUGAAUCGAGCACUUCU